rnacentral:rRNA from 1 species
GUAGCCGAGGAUUCGACAGUCAUCCGCUUGCAAUAUAUGUUCGCCUUUAACCGGGUGGCUAUAUGAGCAAGCAUUUUACCUUGAGAAAAACAGAGUGUUCCAGGCAGGGUAUGUCCCGGAAUGCGUUAGCAUGGAAUAAUAGAAUAUGACUAGAAGUCGAUUUAUGGUUUGAGGCUUUAGUAAUGAUUAAUAGGAACAGUCGGGGGCAUUGGUACUUGACAGUCAGAGUGAAAUUCUAGGAUUUGUCAAAGACUAACAAAUGCGAAAGCAUUUGCCAAGGAUGUUUUCAUUAAUCAAGAACGAAAGUUAGGGGAUCAAAGACGAUCAGAUACCGUCCUAGUCUUAACUAUAAACUAUACCGACUCGGAUUCGGAUGAAUCAAAAAGUUCAUUCGGGACCGUAGGAGAAAUCAAAGUUUUUGGGUUCUGGGGGAAGUAUGGUCGCAAGGCUGAAACUUAAAGGAAUUGACGGUUUUGCACCACCAUGGAGUGGAGUCUGCGGCUUAAUUUGACUCAACACUGGGAAACUCAUCAGGGCAAGAAGAUUUUAGGAUUGACAGAUUGAGAGUUCUUUCUUGAUUGGUCUAGUGGUGGUGCAUGGCCGUUCUUAGUUGGUGGAGUGAUUUGUCUGGUUAAUUCCGUUAACGAACGAGACCUUAACCUGCUAACUAGUACUUUGAUGAAAAAUCAUUGUUACUUCUUAGAGGGACUAUGU